GGUGCUGCCACGCCCCCUCUACCUCAUGGUGACCCUGCCGACAAAAAACAGACAGAUGUCACACCAGUCCGCCGGUCAGGUGGUCAGUGACAGUGAGACGGGAGAACGUGAGUCCUACCUGCAUUACUUGGUGCAGACCUCCCAUGAUGCCGUGCGUGGCGGCCGUGAAGUCUGGUUUGGUCGCAGAGUUGUCAGAGUCUGUCGCUGGGCAACGUUGGAGAACCUCCAGUAAGGCUUUACCACUUUCACUGACCUGUAGACAGACAGACAGACAGACAGGUGGACAGUCAGACAGACAGGUGUUGAGAGAGACAGGUGUGCAGACAGACAGGUACCUGUGAGUAGUUCGCAGCGAUCUCCUCGUUCAACUCCUGGUGUUUCUUUGACGCAGCUUCCAGUUCUGCUGUCGCCGAGGGCAACGGCCCCUCAGAGCACACCUGAACCCAGCCCUCCACCUUGAGCAGAAACUUGACAGACAGGUAGAGAGACAGACAGGUAGAUGGAGAGGCAGACAGGCAGAUAAACAACAGGUAGACAAACAGGUGUAUUAAUCACCUGCUCUGCCCCCUGGUGGAAGCCGGUUGCCAUGGCGAGCGUGUUGCUACGCUCUUCCAGCGCUGUGGUCAGGGACUUCCAGUCUUCCUGUAACCUCGACGACACCAUGGCGAUCCGCUCGGCGCCGUAGUGACCGGCCUCUGCAAGCCUCGCCGCCACGGUGACCACGCUGUCCACGUUCACACUGCCGUUCUGCCCAGAGACAUUCAGAGACGUCAUUAAUGAGGUUUGGUUAAAGAUCACGUGAACAACCGAGCGCAGAGCGAGAUAGCACACUGACCAUGCAGUUAGCGGUGAAGUGCUGGUGCUGUGUCUGGAGGUCGAGGGCGUGCUGGUGAUUCUGGCCGACCUCCGCCAGACUCUGCGUGAACAGCUCUUUACUGUGGGCGAUCCACUCCGACAUCUGAGAGAGAGACGGGCAGGAAGAACCAGUGAGACAGGUGCAGCUGCAGAGCCUGGUCCAGGUGCAGCUUCCUGUCGCUCCAGCUCUGCAGCAGGUGGCUGCGAGCCGCCUGCAGUCGCUCCAGCAGAGACGAGACCUUGGGCGCCACGCUCUGGAAGUCCGCCCCGCCUGACAGCCAGCUGCUGUGGCUCCCACCACCGCUGCCGCCGACCUCGUUAGAGGCGUCACCUUGUGAGGGGCCCAAGCGCAUGCGCUGGAGCAAACUCCGCCCCUCUCGCUCAAGGGCGUCAAUUGGCGCUGUGGCGAUGGUGUUGCGGAGACGGCUGUGUUCCUCCAGGAGUCUGGAGAGGGAAAAUAUAAUAAACUCCACAAUGUAAUAAAUUAUUUAAUAGUCAAUAAGAGGCUCCGUCUUACUUGCGGGCCUCGUCCACGUCCUGGGGCUCUGGAAUGCGGCUCAGCCCGGCCUCCAGCUGCUCGAGCUGGGCCAGCAGCUGCGUGGCGGCUCCCGUGAACUCCUCCAGACCAAGACGCAGCUCGGUCCACUCCACGUGGUCGUACUCCAGUGAACCGCCGAGGUCAGAGGUCAGCUGGGAGGGGUCGACGAGCCGGGACAGACCCUCCACCGACACCAGGCUGGUCUGCAGAUAGAGACAGUUCACUGACUCACUGCAGAACGUGUCCGGUUUGAUGAGCAGCGCCGUGUGGAUGCUGGAGGAGAACGACUCCUGCAGCGUCCGCAGCACCGGCUUCACGCUGUCCCACUUACUGCCGCGCAUGUCCACCACCACGGUGAAGCCACGCGCACGCACAUCCUCACUGACAGACAGGAGGAGGGAGGGAGGCUUGGUGUUAGUCUACUCCAAGUACUGACCUCACUGAGAGAG